CCCCGUGACAGCCAGCACUACUGCCAGGACCUGAUACAGAGCUGGGGGCUGCCUGUGGGUGCCAAGCUGUAGCAGAGCGAGCAGAGUCUGGGGCGCUCGUGUUGGCAGAUCAACAUGGUGGAUUUUAUGGCGGAUCUCUACAGCUGAGGGACAACUGUCUGUGAAUUUCCAGGUCAUGUAACCUUGCUCACUCUUGUGGAAAGCCUGAGGACCUUCAGGAGGGGUUUAAAGAAGAGAUUUUCCUCUCCUGUUCA